rnacentral:rRNA from 1 species
AGUGAACGCUGGCGGUAGGCCUAACACAUGCAAGUCGAACGGCAGCACAGGAGAGCUUGCUCUCUGGGUGGCGAGUGGCGGACGGGUGAGGAAUACAUCGGAAUCUACCUUUUCGUGGGGGAUAACGUAGGGAAACUUACGCUAAUACCGCAUACGACCUACGGGUGAAAGUGGGGGACCGCAAGGCCUCACGCGAUUAGAUGAGCCGAUGUCCGAUUAGCUAGUUGGUGGGUUAAUGGCCCACCAAGGCGACGAACGGUAGCUGGUCUGAGAGGAUGAUCAUCCACACUGGAACUGAGACACGGUCCAGACUCCUACGGGAGGCAGCAGUGGGGAAUAUUGGACAAUGGGCGCAAGCCUGAUCCAGCCAUACCGCGUGGGUGAAGAAGGCCUUCGGGUUGUAAAGCCCUUUUGUUGGGAAAGAAAUCCUGUCGAUUAAUACUCGGUGGGGAUGACGGUACCCAAAGAAUAAGCACCGGCUAACUUCGUGCCAGCCGCCGCCGUAAAAC